AACGCACAUUGCGCCCGCCAGCACUCUGGCGGGCAUGCCUGUUCGAGCGUCAUUUCAACCCUCAGGCCCCCGUGGCCUGGUGUUGGGGCACUGCGCGUCUAGGGACGCGCAGGCCCUGAAAAGCAGUGGCGGGCUCGCUAGAACUCCGGGCGCAGUAGAUCAAAUCUCGUCUAGGUGGUCUGGCGCGGUCUUGCCGUUAAAACCCCACUAUCAUAUAACAGGUUGACCUCGGAUCAGGUAGGAAUACCCGCUGAACUUAA
rnacentral:misc_RNA from 1 species